rnacentral:rRNA from 1 species
CAUUAUCGUAUUACAGAGGUGCGAGGGCUGUCGCUGACCCUUUCCAAAGGUCGUGCACGCCCGAGCGCUCUCUCCCUACAAUCCACCUCACCCCUUGUGCAUCACCGCGUGGGGCCUCCCUCUUGGCUCGCUUCGAGGGGGAGGUUCGCGUUUUUCACACAAACACCCUUAUAGUUUAGAAUGUCAUUCAUUUGCGAUCACACGCAAUCAAUACAACUUUCAACAACGGAUCUCUUGGCUCUCGCAUCGAUGAAGAACGCAGCGAAAUGCGAUACGUAAUGUGAAUUGCAGAAUUCAGUGAAUCAUCGAAUCUUUGAACGCACCUUGUGCCCCUUGGCAUUCCGAGGGGCACACCCGUUUGAGUGUCGUGAAAUUCUCAAACCUUCUCGGUUUUCUUGACCAAGAUGGCUUUGGACUUUGGAGGCAUUUUGCUGGCUUUGCGAAAAGCCAGCUCCUCUUAAAUGCAUUAGUGGGGUCCUCUUUGCCGAUCCCCGGGCGUGAUAAGAUAUUUCUACGUCUUGGGAUUUGCUCUGUUUCUCGGGAACCUGCUUCUAACCGUCUCAUGGGAGACAUCGUUCGAGUUAGCUCGACCCACGAACCUUGACCUCAAAUCGGGUGAGACUACCCGCUGAACUUAAGCAUAUCAAUA